rnacentral:lncRNA from 1 species
CUCUCGGCCCGCGGCCUCCUCCGCCUUCUCCUCCCUCCUCCUUUUUUCCCCUCCCCCUCCUCUCUCUUCUCCCUCCCUCUCUUCUUCUCUCCCAACCCCCCACUCUUCUUCCCCCUUCUCCUCUCUCUCCCACCCUCCUGCUCCCCUCCCCCGGCGCUCGGCAGGGCAUGGGGUACCCGGCCGAGGGGAGGACCCCUUCCCUCCCCAGGGAGCUGGAAGCUGUGGAGCUUGAGCCCCGGCCGCUCUGCUCUCCUGUGUCCCGGCGCUUCUGAAUCCACAUCUGCAAACUGAGCAAGUGACGCCCGCCAAGCGGGUUAAAGGCGCGCAGAUGGGUUUCGAGGAGGGUCUUUCGGCAAGUUAAGCUUUUCGCAGGAGUGGCUCCUCCAUAAGGACCCGGAGAGCUAAGAGGCAAGACUGCAACUCCUUAGAGCAAAUAGUUGCUCAAGAGCCUUUGGAAUGCAUUCUGUGACUCAAAAGAAAUUCCCAGGAAUCAGCACUUCAGGACUGAUGGAUCUGUCAAGAAAUGCUCUUGAACACCACGCCCAUCUUUUACUCAUAAACUUAGGCAGAUUGGACUGGGAUUUCUAAGCUUUUGGACUUGAGGCAAGUCAUUGCAAUGUCACCUUCCUCAUCUGUAGCCAAAUGCUUGCAAAGAAUUAAAUCUCAAAGAGUCAUUAACCAAACUUUUAUUGAGUGCUGGUGAGCCAGCUCGGCCCAAGGCUAUAAGCACACAAACAUAGGAAACAAGUAAUACUCCAGCCCUCAAGGAGUUUGCAAUCUCAGGAGGAGACAAGCACAAAUAAUGACAGUGACAAUGCCGUAGGCCAUGGCCAUUCACUUUGAGCAGCUGUCACUUGGCCAAGGGCAGAGAAGAGACGGGUAACAUUAAAGGGGAGAGGCUGGGACUGCAGAACCAGAGAAGAUAGGCCUGGUCUGAAGGGGGAGCCACCAUGAAGCAUGUACCGAUGGCUGACAUGCAGGGCCAGGUUACUAUGUUUCCCGAUCUUUCCAGAGAAGCCAGAAGUCUAAAUACUUCUAUGAAAUCACCUCAUUUCUAAAUGUUGUCAGCUAAUUCAAACUCACAGAAAAACACUUGCAAGACCAUCAAAACUCAGUCUGUGGGCUGCCAGUUGGUAGCUUCUGGCCUGCAACUACCCAGGUCACCAAAAACUAUUCAAAAGUGUGACAAGAACACAAGAAGAUUGAGAGACACUCCUUUAUAGCUACUAUCACUAACGGAAGCAUAAGUGCCAGAUAACCCGGCUCUCUGCUCACUUCAUAGACAAAGUUCCCGUAAAGUCGGCUUUCUGCCUUUACCUUGCCUCAGCCAUACCUCCCAUUCGUGGUCCAGCUUCUGCCCUCACCUCUCCACAGAAAAAGCUCCUAUUAAAGUCACCAAUACGUUUUCUUUGGCGAGACCCUCAAUGGUUAUUUUUCUGAAACAUUUGGCACUGCUCACCAAUCCCUCCUUUUCUGGAACUAUCCUCUCACAGAUUCUGUGUCUCUCUUCUUUCUCUGAUUGUUCUUUCUCAGUCUCCUUCUUGGGUGCCUCUCUCUUUCUCCUUCCUUCCGUUACUAAAAGUUAACUAUUUUUUUUUUAAUUGAGUUAAUGAUAGGUUACAAUCUUGUGAAAUU